rnacentral:tRNA from 1 species
GGUGGCUCAGUGGUAGAGCGCUUGCCUUGCAUGCUUGAGGCCCUGGAUUCGAUUCCCAAGCACCA